rnacentral:rRNA from 1 species
CUGAACCAGCCAAGUCGCGUGAAGGAAGACUGCCCUAUGGGUUGUAAACUUCUUUUAUACAGGAAUAAAAGACAUUACGUGUAAUGUAUUGCAUGUACUGUAUGAAUAAGGAUCGGCUAACUCCGUGCCAGCAGCCGCGGUAAUACGGAGGAUCCGAGCGUUAUCCGGAUUUAUUGGGUUUAAAGGGUGCGUAGGUGGCUGUUUAAGUCAGCGGUGAAAGUUUGUCGCUUAACGAUAAAAUUGCCGUUGAAACUGGAUAGCUUGAGUAUGUUUGAAGUAGGCGGAAUGCGUGGUGUAGCGGUGAAAUGCUUAGAUAUCACGCAGAACUCCGAUUGCGAAGGCAGCUUACUAAACCAUAACUGACACUGAAGCACGAAAGCGUGGGGAUCAAACAGGAUUAGAUACCCUGGUAGUCCACGCCGUAAACGAUGAUAACUAGGAGUUAGCGAUAGACAGUUAGCUCUACAGCGAAAGCGUUAAGUUAUCCACCUGGGGAGUACGCCGGCAACGGUGAAACUCAAAGGAAUUGACGGGGGCCCGCACAAGCGGAGGAACAUGUGGUUUAAUUCGAUGAUACGCGAGGAACCUUACCCGGGUUUGAACGCAUUUCGACCGACGAGGAAACUCGUUUUCUAGCAAUAGCGAUUUGCGAGGUGCUGCAUGGUUGUCGUCAGCUCGUGCCGUGAGGUGUCGGCUUAAGUGCCAUAACGAGCGCAACCCUUACCGUUAGUUACCAUCAAGUAGUGUUGGGGACUCUAGCGGGACUGCCAGCGUAAGCUGUGAGGAAGGUGGGGAUGACGUCAAAUCAGCACGGCCCUUACAUCCGGGGCGACACACGUGUUACAAUGGAUGGGACAGAGGGCAGCCACUUGGUGACAAGGAGCCAAUCCCUUAAACCCAUUCUCAGUUCGGAUCGAAGUCUGCAACCCGACUUCGUGAAGCUGGAUUCGCUAGUAAUCGCGCAUCAGCCAUGGCGCGGUGAAUACGUUCCCGGGCCUUGUACACACCGCCCGUCAAGCCAUGGGAGUUGGGGGUACCUAAAGUUCGUAACCGCUGAGGAUCGACCUAGGGUAAAACCGAUGACUGGGGCUAAGUCGUAACAAGGUAGCCGUACCGGAAGGUGCGGCUGGAACACCUCCUUU